rnacentral:rRNA from 1 species
AAAGGGUGCGUAGGCGGUUAUAUAAGACAGAUGUGAAAUCCCCGGGCUCAACCUGGGAACUGCAUUUGUGACUGUAUAGCUGGAGUGCGGCAGAGGGGGAUGGAAUUCCGCGUGUAGCAGUGAAAUGCGUAGAUAUGCGGAGGAACACCGAUGGCGAAGGCAAUCCCCUGGGCCUGCACUGACGCUCAUGCACGAAAGCGUGGGGAGCAAACAGGAUUAGAUACCCCAGU